rnacentral:rRNA from 1 species
GAUCAUGGGCUCAGGAUGAACGCUAGCGGCAGGCCUAACACAUGCAAGUCGAGGGGCAUCGGGAUUAAAGCUUGCUUCAAUUGCCGGCGACCGGCGCACGGGUGCGUAACGCGUAUGUAACCUACCUAUAACAGGGGCAUAACACUGAGAAAUUGGUACUAAUUCCCCAUAAUAUUCGGAGAGGCAUCUCUCCGGGUUGAAAACUCCGGUGGUUAUAGAUGGACAUGCGUUGUAUUAGCUAGUUGG